rnacentral:rRNA from 1 species
UACAGAGGGUGCGAGCGUUGUUCGGAAUUAUUGGGCGUAAAGAGCUCGUAGGCGGUUUGUCGCGUCGAAUGUGAAAUCCCGGGGCUCAACCCCGGGCCUGCAUUCGAUACGGGCAGACUAGAGUUCGGUAGGGGAGUCUGGAAUUCCUGGUGUAGCGGUGAAAUGCGCAGAUAUCAGGAGGAACACCGGUGGCGAAGGCGGGACUCUGGGCCGAUACUGACGCUGAGGAGCGAAAGCGUGGGGAGCAAACAGG